GAGAGAGAGAGAGAGAGAGAGAUAAGUCUUAGGAUGUUCAUAUUCUUGUUUAAUUCUCAUUGAAAAUGAAAAAUAAAAAGGAAAAGGGGGAGGAUACCGGUUGCAUAAAGAAAAUCAGGAAG